CCCGGAGAACUGAAACAUCUUAGUAACCGGAGGAAGAGAAAGAAAAUUCGAUUCCCUUAGUAGCGGCGAGCGAAACGGGAAGAGCCCAAACCAACAAGCUUGCUUGUUGGGGUUGUAGGACACUCUAUACGGAGUUACAAAGGACGACAUUAGACGAAUCAUCUGGAAAGAUGAAUCAAAGAAGGUAAUAAUCCUGUAGUCGAAAAUGUUGUCUCUCUUGAGUGGAUCCUGAGUACGACGGAGCACGUGAAAUUCCGUCGGAAUCUGGGAGGACCAUCUCCUAAGGCUAAAUACUCUCUAGUGACCGAUAGUGAACCAGUACCGUGAGGGAAAGGUGAAAAGCACCCCGGAAGGGGAGUGAAAUAGAACCUGAAACCGUGUGCUUACAAGUAGUCAGAGCCCGUUAAUGGGUGAUGGCGUGCCUUUUGUAGAAUGAACCGGCGAGUUACGAUUUGAUGCAAGGUUAAGCAGUAAAUGUGGAGCCGUAGCGAAAGCGAGUCUGAAUAGGGCGUUUAGUAUUUGGUCGUAGACCCGAAACCAGGUGAUCUACCCUUGGUCAGGUUGAAGUUCAGGUAACACUGAAUGGAGGACCGAACCGACUUACGUUGAAAAGUGAGCGGAUGAACUGAGGGUAGCGGAGAAAUUCCAAUCGAACCUGGAGAUAGCUGGUUCUCUCCGAAAUAGCUUUAGGGCUAGCCUCAAGUGAUGAUUAUUGGAGGUAGAGCACUGUUUGGACGAGGGGCCCCUCUCGGGUUACCGAAUUCAGACAAACUCCGAAUGCCAAUUAAUUUAACUUGGGAGUCAGAACAUGGGUGAUAAGGUCCGUGUUCGAAAGGGAAACAGCCCAGACCACCAGCUAAGGUCCCAAAAUAUAUGUUAAGUGGAAAAGGAUGUGGCGUUGCCCAGACAACUAGGAUGUUGGCUUAGAAGCAGCCAUCAUUUAAAGAGUGCGUAAUAGCUCACUAGUCGAGUGACACUGCGCCGAAAAUGUACCGGGGCUAAACAUAUUACCGAAGCUGUGGAUUGUCCUUUGGACAAUGGUAGGAGAGCGUUCUAAGGGCGUUGAAGCAUGAUCGUAAGGACAUGUGGAGCGCUUAGAAGUGAGAAUGCCGGUGUGAGUAGCGAAAGACGGGUGAGAAUCCCGUCCACCGAUUGACUAAGGUUUCCAGAGGAAGGCUCGUCCGCUCUGGGUUAGUCGGGUCCUAAGCUGAGGCCGACAGGCGUAGGCGAUGGAUAACAGGUUGAUAUUCCUGUACCACCUAUAAUCGUUUUAAUCGAUGGGGGGACGCAGUAGGAUAGGCGAAGCGUGCGAUUGGAUUGCACGUCUAAGCAGUAAGGCUGAGUAUUAGGCAAAUCCGGUACUCGUUAAGGCUGAGCUGUGAUGGGGAGAAGACAUUGUGUCUUCGAGUCGUUGAUUUCACACUGCCGAGAAAAGCCUCUAGAUAGAAAAUAGGUGCCCGUACCGCAAACCGACACAGGUAGUCAAGAUGAGAAUUCUAAGGUGAGCGAGCGAACUCUCGUUAAGGAACUCGGCAAAAUGACCCCGUAACUUCGGGAGAAGGGGUGCUCUUUAGGGUUAACGCCCAGAAGAGCCGCAGUGAAUAGGCCCAAGCGACUGUUUAUCAAAAACACAGGUCUCUGCUAAACCGUAAGGUGAUGUAUAGGGGCUGACGCCUGCCCGGUGCUGGAAGGUUAAGAGGAGUGGUUAGCUUCUGCGAAGCUACGAAUCGAAGCCCCAGUAAACGGCGGCCGUAACUAUAACGGUCCUAAGGUAGCGAAAUUCCUUGUCGGGUAAGUUCCGACCCGCACGAAAGGCGUAACGAUUUGGGCACUGUCUCAACGAGAGACUCGGUGAAAUCAUAGUACCUGUGAAGAUGCAGGUUACCCGCGACAGGACGGAAAGACCCCGUGGAGCUUUACUGUAGCCUGAUAUUGAAAUUCGGCACAGCUUGUACAGGAUAGGUAGGAGCCUUUGAAACGUGAGCGCUAGCUUACGUGGAGGCGCUGGUGGGAUACUACCCUAGCUGUGUUGGCUUUCUAACCCGCACCACUUAUCGUGGUGGGAGACAGUGUCAGGCGGGCAGUUUGACUGGGGCGGUCGCCUCCUAAAAGGUAACGGAGGCGCUCAAAGGUUCCCUCAGAAUGGUUGGAAAUCAUUCAUAGAGUGUAAAGGCAUAAGGGAGCUUGACUGCGAGACCUACAAGUCGAGCAGGGUCGAAAGACGGACUUAGUGAUCCGGUGGUUCCGCAUGGAAGGGCCAUCGCUCAACGGAUAAAAGCUACCCCGGGGAUAACAGGCUUAUCUCCCCCAAGAGUUCACAUCGACGGGGAGGUUUGGCACCUCGAUGUCGGCUCAUCGCAUCCUGGGGCUGUAGUCGGUCCCAAGGGUUGGGCUGUUCGCCCAUUAAAGCGGUACGCGAGCUGGGUUCAGAACGUCGUGAGACAGUUCGGUCCCUAUCCGUCGUGGGCGUAGGAAAUUUGAGAGGAGCUGUCCUUAGUACGAGAGGACCGGGAUGGACAUACCUCUGGUGUACCAGUUGUCGUGCCAACGGCAUAGCUGGGUAGCUAUGUGUGGACGGGAUAAGUGCUGAAAGCAUCUAAGCAUGAAGCCCCCCUCAAGAUGAGAUUUCCCAACUUCGGUUAU
rnacentral:rRNA from 1 species